CCUGGUUGCCUCUGUGUCGCCAUUAAAGUUUCAGGUCGCGUGGGCCUGUUUUACACGGCUGCUGAUCCCCCGAUUGAUGCCGAGCUGGAAAGCAGCCACGGGCUACAGCAUGUCAGACAUCAGGCCGCCGGUCUCCAGGUGCCGCGGCGCAACGAACAAGUGUUGAAUUAGACCCACUGGGAUUUGAAGCUACAUACGCAAACACCGGCCUGCUGCCUUUAAAACGGCUCUGCACCGGGACUCAAAGGCACGGACCGGCCAGCGCCGCCUCGUCACUAGAAGACAAAGAGACGGAUUCCACUGCAGGUUUGAGCAUUCCGUCCAACCAGGGACGGCAGUCGCACAGUAGAAGUGAUCCCGAUGAACCGAAUCAGAAGCCCGGCUCCCCCGUUGAAUGGAUGCGGCGUCUUGGUCGGCUGCCUCCGCUCAGGGAUCAGCCCCGGCGCGUCCAUCUGGAGCAGAGUCCACUGGCACAGAGGGCGAGUUCAUCCACGGUGCCGCUGGAGAACAAAGACGGAGCUGUUAAGACGUUCUUCACGAAUGCUGGUUUUGUGUUUUGCUUUAACCGCAAAAAAAACAUGUAACGUCCAGAAAAGAUAAUCAAACAGGAAGGAACACAAAGAGGUAAUGGACUUGUGGUUAGAAUCCGGUUUUAUCCUAAUCUACAGCUAAAGAAUCAUCGUUUCCUAAAUGAACACUGUGCUCUACUGAAGAAGACCAGCUCAUGUUCACCAUCUUCACUGAGGUAACAGACCAGGUCUCAGAGACUCCUCGACCUCUCGUUUCUGCACCCUGAGGAGUUUUACUUCUCGGAGUGGAGAUUCAUCAAAUGAAAUAGUUCUAUAUUCAGAACAAAGCAAGGAAGAGGGAAUUAUCAUCAAAGUAACAAUCGCAAAACCAAACACUGGCAAGUGGUAACAAUGUGGUUCGUUAUUGUGCUGUUAUGCAAAGUGUCACGGUGGGGUUUUAUUUCCUGUUUUAUUUUGUAGUUUUCUGCUUCUUGUCUCCCUGGGUAACUUGACUUCCUGCCUGGUCCUGUCGUCCCCUGUGAUUGUCUGAUUGUUUCCACCUGUGUCCAAUCACCUGCACCUCCCCAGUGUGUUUAAGCCGUGUGUGUCUCUUGUCACUUGUGGCGUCAUUGUCGAAUGUCCUGGAGUUCCUGGAGUUCCUGCCUGCCUUUUUGCCCCCUGUUCCUGUGUGUGUUUUUGCCCCUCUGCCUUUUUUCUGCAUUUUUGACUAUUAAAGUAUUUUUGCUUUUGACGUCUGCAUUUGAGUCCUGCCUUCCCACGCAUCCGUGACAC
ensembl:lncRNA